AUUGAACGCUGGCGGCAGGCCUAACACAUGCAAGUCGAACGAGUGGCGGACGGGUGAGUAAUGUCUGGGAAACUGCCUGAUGGAGGGGGAUAACUACUGGAAACGUUAGCUAAUACCGCAUACCAUCAGAUGUGCCCAGAUGGGAUUAGCGAUUGGGUGGGGUAACGGCUCACCAAGGCGACGAUCCCUCGCUGGUCGGAGAGGAUGACAAGCCACACUGGAACGGAGACACGGUCCAGACUCCUACGGGAGGAAGCAGUGGGGAAUAUUGCACAAGGGGCGCAAGCCUGAUACAGCCAUGCCGCGUGUAUGAAGAAGGCCUUCGGGUUGUAAAGUACGUUCAGCGGGGAGGCGUUACCCGCAGAAGAAGCACCGGCUAACUCCGUGCCAGCAGCCGCGGUAAUUC
rnacentral:rRNA from 1 species